CUUUUCUGCUUGUGGUGUCAGGCUGAGCGACAGCUCCCAGCCGAGCUUGUGCUUAGCGAGACACAGAGUAGCUGGAGAUGGAGUUCUCUGUGUCACUAAAGCAUGAGCUUGAUGGCUGCCGUGAGCCAAAGUGAGAGAGUUUCUGUGUUUGAUUUCUGUGUUGGGCUGAGCGGGUAGAGCAGGGCAAGGGGGCUGAUUUGGACAUGCUGCUUUCCAAAUAUGGUGCUGUUUGUGUGGCAGUGCUUCUGACAUUCCAAAUUGUGUCAGAUGUCACUGAAUUCCUUGGAAUCUGCUGAGUUGACUUGUGCAGGUUUCAUUCUGGAGCUGAACCCUUCCUGGCCGCUUCUGUGCAUAGCCAUGGCUGUUGCUUCUUUCUUGCCUCCUUUCUUUGUUGUGUUUGGCACUGUGCAAGCCGUGAAUUGCCAGGGAGCAGCUGAAAGUGCUCUGGAGUUGUGGGGGACAAACUGCCAAGAAACAAGGUGCAGCUUCAAAGCCCCGAAGUUUGGAGAGAUGAGAGAUGCACAGCGCUCUGCCUGGUGCAGGACAUGAUGUGCUCUGCAAGGCGCUUUCCACAAAGCCCUCACGUCCUUUCUCAAACUGCAUCCAAAGCAACCCAGUGCCCUGUGCUUGUUGUACCCGGAGGUAUCGGUGCCAGGAGUUGCUGCUGUGUUUGCAAUGCCAUUGUGUCGGCAGGGUGACGUUAAUGGGCUGCAAUGCCCUCAGUCAUUCAAAGCAUCCUUGCAGAUGUUCCUAGUGAGGGGCAUGUUUCAUGGACACCAUAGGUUGUUUCCUGGAAAAUGAAAGAGUGGGCUUGCGUACCUCCAGAUGGUUUUCAUUUCCUGCUGAGCCCAGUGCACUUCACGUCUGCUGCCAUUGCCCCACGGCCCUGUUGUGGUUUAAGCCGGUGGGUGGCUCAGCACCACACAGUCCUUUGCUUACUCCCCCCUUCCCAGUGGGAUGGGGGAGAGAAUUAUGGGGGGGAAAAAAAAGAAGGUGGAACUAAUGCGUUGAGAGAAAUCUCUUUCCAAAGGUAGAGAAAAGGAAGGACCGAAGUAAUAUAUAUGUCUAUUUACGAAUGUAUGUAACAAGUGAUGUAGAAGCGG
ensembl:lncRNA